CCUACGGGGAGCUGCAGUGAGGAAUAUUGGUCAAUGGGCUUACGCCUGAACCAGCCAAGUCGCGUGAGGGAAGACUGCCCUAUGGGUUGUAAACCUCUUUUGUCAGGGAGCAACGCCGGCUACGUGUAGCCGGACUGAGAGUACCUGAAGAAAAAGCAUCGGCUAACACCGUCCCAGCAGCCGCGGUAAUACGGAGGAUGCGAGCGUUAUCCGGAUUUAUUGGGUUGAAAGGGUGCGUAGGUGGUUAAUUAAGUCAGCGGUGAAUGUGUGUGGCUCAACCAUGAGAUUGCAGUUGAAACUGGUUUGCUUGAGUGUAGUUGAGGUAGGCGGAAUGCGGGGUGUAGCGGUGAAAUGCAUAGAUAUCACGAAGAACACCGAUUGCGAAGGCAGCUUACUAGACUGUAACUGACGCUGAGGCACGAAAGCGUGGGGAUCAAACAGGAUUAGAUACCCGAGUAGUC
rnacentral:rRNA from 1 species